AUUGAACGCUGGCGGCAGGCUUAACACAUGCAAGUCGAGCGAGGAAAGGUAGCUUGCUACUUGACCUAGCGGCGGACGGGUGAGUAAUGCUUAGGAAUCUGCCUAUUAGUGGGGGACAACAUCUCGAAAGGGAUGCUAAUACCGCAUACGUCCUACGGGAGAAAGCAGGGGACCUUCGGGCCUUGCGCUAAUAGAUGAGCCUAAGUCGGAUUAGCUAGUUGGUGGGGUAAAGGCCUACCAAGGCGACGAUCUGUAGCGGGUCUGAGAGGAUGAGCCGCCACACUGGGACUGAGACACGGCCCAGACUCCUACGGGAGGUAGCAGUGGGGAAUAUUGGACAAUGGGGGGAACCCUGAUCCAGCCAUGCCGCGUGUGUGAAGAAGGCCUUUUGGUUGUAAAGCACUUUAAGCGAGGAGGAGGCUACCGAGAUUAAUACUCUUGGAUAGUGGACGUUACUCGCAGAAUAAGCACCGGCUAACUCUGUGCCAGCCGCCGCAGUAAAAC
rnacentral:rRNA from 1 species